AGCAUACUAACGAAGAGGGUGACAGCAAAUACGCAUCCACUUUAAUAAUAAAAUUUACUCUGAAAAUCGUCAUUAUGAUUAAAGCCAGAAUAUCAUAUUCACCAAAGCUGGAAAAUGAAAGAUCUGAAUACUUUAAACUUUAAUUAUUUAUGUUAAUCAAGAUGUUAAUUUUUGAAAAUGUAAUCA